rnacentral:lncRNA from 1 species
AAUUUAAAACCACAUUAUAACUUUGUAUUAAUGUAUGAUAAACUUCUUUUCAUGGUACAUGGACAUCGUUCUAAUUUUUUAUCCAUUAAUUUAGCAAAACUGCAAAUACUCCCUAAAUCAUUGGACUAACCACUAUAAAAUUGCUAUUCCCUAGAGAAACGGAGACAACAAAGGUUCCAAACCUCUUUGAAAUUCAUCAUAUGUUAUUACAUGAUUCAAAUAUGUAUUAAAACAGUAUUUUCAAUUUUUUUAAUUUUUUUUCAAAAUCUAUGUGUAACCCCUACGAAAAUAGUGAGUUUUCGGAAAAUGCUCUAUAUAUGAAGCCUAUAAUCUUUAAAUUUGUUUUAAAAUUUAAAACCACAUUAUACCUUUGUAUUAAUGUAUGAUAAACUUCUUUUCAUGGUACAUGGACAUGUUCUAAUUUUUAUCCAUUAAUUUAGCAAAACUGCAAAUACUCCCUAAAUCAUUGGACUAACCACUACAAAAUUGCUAUUCCCUAGAGAAACGGAGACAACAAAGGUUCCAAACGUCUUUGAACUUCAUCAUAUUUUAUUACAUGAUUCAAAUAUGUAUUAAAACAGUAUUUUCAAUUUUUUCAAUUUUUUCUCAAAAUCUAUGUGUUAACCCCUACGAAAAUAGUGAGUUUUCGGUAAAUGCUCUAUAUAUGAAGCCUAUAAUCUUUAAAUUUGUUUUAAAAUUUAAAACCACAUUAUACCUUUGUAUUAAUGUAUGAUAAACUUCUUUUCAUGGUACAUGGACAUCGUUCUAAUUUUUUAUCCAUUAAUUUAGCAAAACUGCAAAUACUCCCUAAAUCAUUAGACUAACCACUAUAAAAUUAAUAUUCCCUAGAGAAACAGAGACAAAAAAGGUUCCAAACCUCUUUUAACUUCAUCAUAUUUUAUUACAUAAUUCAAAUAUGUAUUAAAACAGUAUUUUCAAUUUUCUCAAAAUCUAUGUGUACCCCCUACGAAAAUAGUGAGUUUUCGGUAAAUGCUCUAUAUAUGAAGCCUAUAAUCUUUAAAUUUGUUUUAAAAUUUAAAACCACAUUAUACCUUUGUAUUAAUGUAUGAUAAACUUCUUUUCAUGGUACAUGGACAUCGUUCUAAUUUUUUAUCCAUUAAUUUAGCAAAACUGCAAAUACUCCCUAAAUCAUUGGACUAACCACUAUAAAAUUGCUAUUCCCUAGAGAAACGGAGACAACAAUAGUUCCAAACCACUUGGACUUCAUCGUAUUUAAUUACAUGAUUCAAAUAUGCAUUAAAACAGUAUUUUCAAUUUUUUUGAAUUUUUUCUCAAAUCUAUGUGUUAACCCCCCUACGAAAUAGUGAGUUUUCGGUAAAUGCUCUAUAUAUGAAGCCUAUAAUCUUUAAAUUUGUUUUAAAAUUUAAAACCACAUUAUACCUUUGUAUUAAUGUAUGAUAAACUUCUUUUCAUGGUACAUGGACAUCGUUCUAAUUUUUUAUCCAUUAAUUUAGCAAAACUGCAAAUACUCCCUAAAUCAUUGGACUAACCACUAUAAAAUUGCUAUUCCCUAGAGAAACGGAGACAACAAAGGUUCCAAACCUCUUUGAACUUCAUCAUAUUUUAUUACAUGAUUCAAAUAUGUAUUAAAACAGUAUUUUCAAAUUUUUUGAAUUUUUCUCAAAAUCUAUGUGUUAACCCUACGAAAAUAGUGAGUUUUCGGUAAAUGCUCUAUAUAUGAAGCCUAUAAUCUUUAAAUUUGUUUUAAAAUUUAAAACCACAUUAUACCUUUGUAUUAAUGUAUGAUAAACUUCUUUUCAUGGUACAUGGACAUCGUUCUAAUUUUUUAUCCAUUAAUUUAGCAAAACUGCAAAUACUCCCUAAAUCAUUAGACUAACCACUAUAAAAUUGCUAUUCCCUAGAGAAAACGGAGACAACAAAGGUUCCAAACCUCUUUGAACUUCAUCAUAUUAUUACAUGAUUCAAAUAUGUAUUAAAACAGUAUUUCAAUUUUUUGAAUUUUUCUCAAAAUCUAUGUGUAACCCCCUACGAAAAUAGUGAGUUUUCGGUAAAUGCUCUAUAUAUGAAGCCUAUAAUCUUUAAAUUUGUUUUAAAAUUUAAAACCACAUUAUACCUUUGUAUUAAUGUAUGAUAAACUUCUUUUCAUGGUACAUGGACAUCGUUCUAAUUUUUUAUCCAUUAAUUUAGCAAAACUGCAAAUACUCCCUAAAUCAUUGGACUAACCACUAUAAAAUUGCUAUUCCCUAGAGAAACGGAGACAACAAAGGUUCCAAACCUCUUUGAACUUCAUCAUAUUUAUUACAUGAUUCAAAUAUGUAUUAAAACAGUAUUUUCAAUUUUUUUGAUUUUUUCUCAAAAUCUAUGUGUUAACCCCUACGAAAAUAGUGAGUUUUCGGUAAAUGCUCUAUAUAUGAAGCCUAUAAUCUUUAAAUUUGUUUUAAAAUUUAAAACCACAUUAUACCUUUGUAUUAAUGUAUGAUAAACUUCUUUUCAUGGUACAUGGACAUCAUUCUAAUUUUUUAUCCAUUAAUUUAGCAAAACUGCAAAUACUCCCUAAAUCAUUGGACUAACCACUAUAAAAUUGCUAUUCCCUAGAGAAACGGAGACAACAAAGCUUCCAAACCUCUUUGAACUUCAUCAUAUUUUAUUACAUGAUUCAAAUAUUUAUUAAAACAGUAUUCUCAAAUUUUUUGAUUUUUUCUCAACAUUUAUGUGUACCCCCCUACGAAAAUAAGGAGUUUUCGGUAAAUGCUCUAUAUAUGAAGCCUAUAAUCUUUAAUUUUUAAAAAAAAUUUAAAACCACAUUAUACCUUUGUAUUAAUGUAUGAUAAACUUCUUUUCAUGGUACAUGGACAUUUUUCUAAUUUUUUAUCCAUUAAUUUAGCAAAACUGCAAAUACUCACUAAAUCAUUGGACUAACCACUAUAAAAUUGCUAUUCCCUAGAGAAACGGAGACAACAAAGGUUCCAACCUCUUUGAACUUCAUCAUAUUUUAUUACAUGAUUCAAAUAUGUAUUAAAACAGUAUUUUCAAAUUUUUUGAAUUUUUCUCAAAAUCUAUGUGUUAACCCCUACGAAAAUAGUGAGUUUUCGGUAAAUGCUCUAUAUAUGAAGCCUAUAAUCUUUAAAUUUGUUUUAAAAUUUAAAACCACAUUAUACCUUUGUAUUAAUGUAUGAUAAACUUCUUUUCAUGGUACAUGGACAUCGUUCUAAUUUUUUAUCCAUUAAUUUACUGCAAAUACUCCCUAAAUCAUUGGACUAACCACUAUAAAAUUGCUAUUCCCUAGAGAAACGGAGACAACAAAGGUUCCAAACUCUUUGAACUUCAUCAUAUAUUAUUACAUGAUUCAAUAUGUAUUAAAACAGUAUUUCAAAUUUUUGAAUUUUUCUCAAAAUCUAUGUGUAACCCCCCUACGAAAAUAGUGAGUUUUCGGUAAAUGCUCUAUAUAUGAAGCCUAUAAUCUUUAAAUUUGUUUUAAAAUUUAAAACCACAUUAUAACUUUGUAUUAAUGUAUGAUAAACUUCUUUUCAUGGUACAUGGACAUCGUUCUAAUUUUUUAUCCAUUAAUUUAGCAAAACUGCAAAUACUCCCUAAAUCAUUGGACUAACCACUAUAAAAUUGCUAUUCCCUAGAGAAACAGAGACAACAAAGGUUCCAAACCUCUUUGAACUUCAUCAUAUUUUUUUACAUGAUUCAAAUAUGUAUUAAAACAGUAUUUUCAAUUUUUUUGAAUUUUUUUCAAAAUCUAUGUGUAACCCCUACGAAAUAGUGAGUUUUCGGUAAAUGCUCUAUAUAUGAAGCCUAUAAUCUUUAAAGUUGUUUUAAAAUUUAAAACCACAUUAUAACUUUGUAUUAAUGUAUGAUAAACUUUUUUUCAUGGUACAUGGACAUCGUUCUAAUUUUUUAUCCAUUAAUUUAGCAAAACUGCAAAUACUCCCUAAAUCAUUAGACUAACCACUAUAAAAUUGCUAUUCCCUAGAGAAACGGAGACAACAAAGGUUCCAAACCUCUUUGAACUUCAUCAUAUUUUAUUACUUGAUUCAAAUAUGUAUUAAAACAGUAUUUUCAAAUUUUUCAAUUUUUUCUCAAAAUCUAUGUGUAAAUGCUCUAUAUAUGAAGCCUAUAAAUCUUAAUAAUUUGUUUAAAUUUAAAAAAACACAUUAUAACUUUGUAUUAAUGUAUGAUAAACUUCUUUUCAUGGUACAUGGACAUCGUUCUAAUUUUUUAUCCAUUAAUUUAGCAAAACUGCAAAUACUCCCUAAAUCAUUGGACUAACCACUAUAAAAUUGCUAUUCCCUAGAGAAACGGAGACAACAAAGGUUCCAAACCUCUUUGAACUUCAUCAUAUGUUAUUACAUGAUUCAAAUAUGUAUUAAAACAGUAUUUUCAAUUUUUUUGAAUUUUUCUCAAAAUCUAUGUGUAACCCCCCUACGAAAAUAGUGAGUUUUCGGUAAAUGCUCUAUAUAUGAAGCCUAUAAUCUUUAAAUUUGUUUUAAAAUUUAAAACCACAUUAUACCUUUGUAUUAAUGUAUGAUAAACUUCUUUUCAUGGUACAUGGACAUCGUUCUAAUUUUUUAUCCAUUAAUUUAGCAAAACUGCAAAUACUCCCUAAAUCAUUAGACUAACCACUAUAAAAUUGCUAUUCCCUAGAGAAACGGAGACAACAAAGGUUCCAAACCUCUUUGAACUUCAUCAUAUAUUAUUACAUUAUUCAUAUAUGUAUUAAAAUAGUAUUGUCAAACUUUUUGAAUUUUUCUCAAAAUCUAUGUGUCCCCCUACGAAAAUAGUGAGUUUUCGGUAAUGCUCUCUAUAUAUGAAGCCUAUAAUCUUUAAAUUUCUUGUAAAAUUUAAAACCACAUUAUAACUUUGUCUUAACGUAUGAUAAACUUUUUUUCAUGGUACUUGGACAUCGUUCUAAUUUUUUAUCCAUUAAUUUAGCAAAACUGCAAAUACUCCCUAAAUCAUUGGACUAACCACUAUAAAAUUGCUAUUCCCUAGAGAAACGGAGACAACAAAGGUUCCAAACCUCUUUGAACUUCAUCAUAUGUUAUUACAUGAUUCAAAUAUGUAUUAAAACAGUAUUUUCAUUUUUUUUUAUUUUUUUUCAAAAUCUAUGUGUUAACCCCUACGCAAAUAGUGAGUUUUCGGUAAAUACUCUAUAUAUGAAGCCUAUAAUCUUUAAAUUUGUUGUAAAAUUUAAAACCACAUUAUACCUUUGUCUUAAUGUAUGAUAAACUUCUUUUCAUGGUACAUGGACAUAGUUCUAAUUUUUUAUCCAUUAAUUUAGCAAAAUUGCAAAUACUCCCUAAAUUAUUAGACUAACCACUAUAAAAUUGCUAUUCCCUAGAGAAACGGAGACAACAAAGGUUCCAAACCUCUUUGAACUUCAUCAUAU